AAGAGUUAUGUAUCUUCGGGUACUAUCUCCAACCAAUUGUGAACCAAAUUUGUUGCCUCGACAUCCGAUGAGUACCCAAUCGGUGUACCCAUCCUUCGGUUGCUUUGCACCUGAAGAGUGAUGUCUGAGGAUUUUAAACUUCUUUUAAUUAAGUCUUCUGAGUUAAAAUCAAUAAAAACA
rnacentral:misc_RNA from 1 species